AAACCCUACUCAAGUAAGUUUUACUUGGAUGUGAAGGAAGAGUAUCUUUGUAAUUAGAGAGCUCUCCUUUGAAAAGUAUUAGCAUGAUGGUAUAAAAUCCUGAUGUUGUAUUAUCUUUUGAUAUUAUCUUCUGAAUGUGAUUUUAUAAUAAUAUAUUACGUCUUGCUUCAAAUCUAUUUAUUGGCAUAUAUAUAUAUAUAAUAUGUAUAUGACAAUAAAAACUUCAUUUAU
rnacentral:misc_RNA from 1 species